rnacentral:rRNA from 1 species
AGUGAACGCUGGCGGUAGGCCUAACACAUGCAAGUCGAACGGCAGCACAGUAAGAGCUUGCUCUUACGGGUGGCGAGUGGCGGACGGGUGAGGAAUACAUCGGAAUCUACUUUUUCGUGGGGGAUAACGUAGGGAAACUUACGCUAAUACCGCAUACGACCUACGGGUGAAAGCAGGGGAUCUACGGACCUUGCGCGAUUGAAUGAGCCGAUGUCGGAUUAGCUAGUUGGCGGGGUAAAGGCCCACCAAGGCGACGAUCCGUAGCUGGUCUGAGAGGAUGAUCAGUCACACUGGAACUGAGACACGGUCCAGACUCCUACGGGAGGCAGCAGUGGGGAAUAUUGGACAAUGGGCGCAAGCCUGAUCCAGCCAUACCGCGUGGGUGAAGAAGGCCUUCGGGUUGUAAAGCCCUUUUGUUGGGAAAGAAAAGCAGCAGGUUAAUACCCCGCUGUUCUGACGGUACCCAAAGAAUAAGCACCGGCUAACUUCGUG